ACGUACACUCCUACGGGAGGCAGCAGUGGGGAAUAUUGGACAAUGGGCGCAAGCCUGAUCCAGCCAUGCCGCGUGAGUGAUGAAGGCCCUAGGGUUGUAAAGCUCUUUCACCGGUGAAGAUAAUGACGGUAACCGGAGAAGAAGCCCCGGCUAACUUCGUGCCAGCAGCCGCGGUAAUACGAAGGGGGCUAGCGUUGUUCGGAUUUACUGGGCGUAAAGCGCACGUAGGCGGACUAUUAAGUCAGGGGUGAAAUCCCGGGGCUCAACCCCGGAACUGCCUUUGAUACUGGUAGUCUUGAGUUCGAGAGAGGUGAGUGGAAUUCCGAGUGUAGAGGUGAAAUUCGUAGAUAUUCGGAGGAACACCAGUGGCGAAGGCGGCUCACUGGCUCGAUACUGACGCUGAGGUGCGAAAGCGUGGGGAGCAAACAGGAUUAGAUACCCGUGUAGUCC
rnacentral:rRNA from 1 species